CACACACCCAGGAGCUGGACCAGGUUCCUGUGCUUGAGCUUGGCAGCCAGCACGAGCUCGUUCUUAAGCUCGUGGAACCCCUGUGAAGAGUUCUGUGAAAGCCUCUUCACAGCUAUCUCUUCCCUGUCAGGGCAAAAAACAUGUAUAUUAGGAAAAGGUGGACUUAAUUCUGGUGAAAGGCUGACAUUGUUAAGUGGAAGAAGGAAAAACUCAAUGCUAAUGCAAAGCCAUGCCAUUUCAAAAAAAAAAAAGCAUAGCCAUGGACAUCGUCGUCAACCAUAUGCCAGUAUACAGCUAGGACAAAAGAAUUGCAGGCGGAAACAAAUCUGAAGCAGGAGUUUGCAGAUGUACCAGGCUGUGUUUUCUUGCGAUUGCUCUUAUUUCUUCUGCAUAACAAAACACCAAGGACGACAACGACUGCAACAAGGACCGUUCCAACCGGAAGCGCGACGGCGAGAGCGACGUCAAUCCUCUUCUUCCCUGCGUUUGUCAGUAUGCAGUUCAGAAGCUCACCUCGCUUGCUUUCUCCGACGAAGCUGGACGGAGGCGGUGCCAGGGGCGGCGGCGCAUCGCCAUCGAGCGCAAGAUCAUAGUAGGUGUAUAUCUCCACGCGCAGGUUGCAGUU